GACCACCCCAUUUCAAUAAUAUAAACUAAUCCAACCAAACAAUUUCUCUCAUGCUCAUCUUCACUUUCAUACAAUUUUUUGAAGUCAUUUUUAAAGCUUAUAAAAGAGUAAAGGAGAAUAUUAAUCUCAAGCUCAAAGGAAACAUGAAGGUAGAGAUGGCAACACCACCCGAACCCGCAGGUACCUACCCCGCCCGUAUCUACGCGGGUUCUUGGGAGGCGCGGAGCGAGACAGGUUUAGGUAAU